rnacentral:lncRNA from 1 species
GACGCCAUCACUACCCUGCUGGCGUUCACCCCCACCGCGGGAGACGUGGUCAUGGUGGUUGCUCUGCUGCACGCGCUCACUCAGGCCAAGAGGUUCAGCCUGAGUGUGCAGCUGGUGUGUGGGGAGGAGCGGUGGGCGUGGGGACGGCUGCUGGAGAAGCUACAGCUGGUGCUGGCUGAGCGACCUCAGGAUCUGGCAGAGCUCAACGUGACGGAGUGGACGGUAGUUCAACUCAGAGCAAAGUUCAACUUGUGAAUCACUUGGUGAUGAUGCAAAGCAACUCCCCUCAACACAAACCAAUGCCUUGUCUCUCAAGCGUAACGCCUGUUCACUUUCAGUCACCUCGGAUGUAGGGCAAAAACGUCCCACCUUUUGCAGAAGUUUGACUAAGAAGCUAUCAAUGUAACUUAUUAUUAUUAUUACCCGAGAGUUAUGUCUUCGUUCAAUAAUAUUUUAUCAGUUACCACUGAUUAGAUUCAUUAUUUGUACAAGUCACUAGCAUCAAAUGGCAACGGCAGUAUUAGGUGACUUCCAUGCUUUAAAAGCCAGUACAUCGUCAAUUUUCGUGACAAGAUGUCGAUGAUAUUGCGGUGUUGUCUCUCCGCUGGAAUAUUCAGUGCAAGAUGUAUGCAUUACCACUCUCGUGCAGUGAGCAAAAAAAUUAAUAACUUAAAUUUAUCCCGUAGCCAGAGCUAUUUUUAAGCCUGCAAUUGACGUCGUUUUAAGUGGUUUUUGUUGGCAACUAUUUUAAUGCGUAGUAAAGUAGACACUGCCUAGUUAAUUAAGUAACGUCGCAAAUGUGUGUAUGAAUAUGUAAAUGUGGCCGAAUGUGUAGCGCAGCCGAGGCUGAAGCGUGCAGAAGGUUGGCUGAGACUUGCGCCGUCUAUACAGUGCGCUUUGUAUUGUAGCCUCGUAUCAAAGCAAUGGAUCUCGAACAUUCCACCUUGUCACUUAAUUUGACGUCACAACCACCACCACUUGUCUAAAUAAAUGAUGCAUAGAUAAAUUAAGCACUCGUCUGUCACCCCGAACAAUGGAUAGAGGAGUCCUGGUCUGGACUCGCUGUACUAGAAGAUAAGUAAUUCCUUUGCGUCCAUAGAGACCCGAGCCGUACAUUCAAAACUCGCUUCAGUACAUAUAACGGCCUAAGUGUACGUGGCGGCGUAUCUCUUUUCCUUGAUUGGUGAGUUUUGCUUGAAAAUCUGUCAAGAGAUUGACUAACGGAGUCAAGAUAAUGAGGCCCCAGCGCUACAAGCGCCCAAAAUGGCUCAGCUCUACUUGGACAACGCACACACACAAAUGACACAAUGUCCUACAUGUCCCAGCUCUACCACGUGUUCAGGUAGAGCCCUACACGACUCAGCGCUACCACAUGUUCAGGUAGAGCCCUACAUGUCCCAGCUCUACCACGUGUUCAGGUAGAGCUUUAGAUGACCCAGCUCUACCACAUGUUCAGGUAGAGCCCUACCACAUGUUCGGGUAGAGCUCUAGAUGGCCCAGCUCUACCACAUGUUCAGGUAGAGCCCUACACGACUCAGCUCUACCACAUGUUCCGGUAGAGCCCUACAUGUCCCAGCUCUACCACAUGUUCAGGUAGAGUCCUACAUGUCCCAGCUCUACCACAUGUUCAGGUAGAGCCCUACAUGUCCCAGCUCUACCACAUGUUCAGGUAGAGCUAUAGAUGGCCCAGCUCUACCACAUGUUCAGGUAGAGCCCUACACGACUCAGCGCUAC